GACGAACGCUGGCGGCGUGCUUAACACAUGCAAGUCGAGCGGUAAGGCCUUUCGGGGUACACGAGCGGCGAACGGGUGCGUAACACGUGGGUGAUCUGCCCUGCACUUCGGGAUAAGCCCGGGAAACUGGGUCUAAUACCGGAUAUGACCUCCUAUCGCAUGGUGGGUGGUGGAAAGAUUUAUCGGUGCAGGAUGGGCCCGCGGCCUAUCAGCUUGUUGGUGGGGUAAUGGCCUACCAAGGCGACGACGGGUAGCCGACCUGAGAGGGUGACCGGCCACACUGGGACUGAGACACGGCCCAGACUCCUACGGGAGGCAGCAGUGGGGAAUAUUGCACAAUGGGCGAAAGCCUGAUGCAGCGACGCCGCGUGAGGGAUGACGGCCUUCGGGUUGUAAACCUCUUUCAGCAGGGACGAAGCGCAAGUGACGGUACCUGCAGAAGAAGCACCGGCUAACUACGUG
rnacentral:rRNA from 1 species